rnacentral:rRNA from 1 species
UACGUAGGGGCCUAGCGUUGUCCGGAUUUAUUGGGCGUAAAGAGCUCGUAGGCGGUUUGUUGCGUCGGCUGUGAAAUCCCGAGGCUCAACCUCGGGUCUGCAGUCGAUACGAGCAAACUAGAGUGUUGCAGGGGAGACUGGAAUUCCUGGUGUAGCGGUGAAAUGCGCAGAUAUCGAGGAGGAACACCGGUGGCGAAGGC